rnacentral:lncRNA from 1 species
UAAUGUAAACAACAACAUUACAAAAUGAAUUAAAGAUUUUACUUGCCUCAUCCUUGGAGAGAGAGCAUUUUAAUCGCAUUAUCAAGAUCCGCAUUUAAAAGAAAACCGGAUAAAAAUGUUUCAGGUCUUGAUGUCGCUAGUGUCUCGAGCACCUAUUUUAUAUCAUCUCAAGAUGAAUUAGUUUAUGUUUUUACACUCUUGUUAGGCUUUAUCUAAUUGAUGUUCUUUUUUUACUGGUUUUACUUUUCGAACAAGUGAGGAAACAACGUACGUAAAGCUAUCUUCGGCUUCAUGUUAUUAGAUAUCUUUUGUCUGCUUUGAAUUGGAUACUGAGAUGGUCAAUCCAAACAUUCAACUUUUUGAGCUUUUCCUUCUUCCACUAACUUUACACGAAACCUACACCGACUCAUCUUUUUCUGAAUUAGGAUGUCUUUGUCUACUAUGACAAGUCAUUUCCCGCAACAAAGCAGAGGAUUAAAGGCAGCGUACAUGAUCCAGAAGACGCAUGGCUUAAAAAUGGACUCUGUAUAUUGUUGCUUUUCGUCAAGAAAAAGCUCAUUAAUGAACCAAUUCCUUCUCUGAGCCACACAAGCUAAAGCCAUGCCUCAGCCGAAACUCAUUGAUUUCUACGGAGAACCCAAGAGUCAGGUUCUUGAACUUACAAGAACAACAAGACCAAGCUUUCUAACUUGAGAAACAAAAAGUUAUUUUCAAGCUUAUUGCUAGUUCUCCCCCAGUCAACAGAAGUCUAAAUGCAAUCUAGAAAUCUAAAUUUUCCCAUAAAAAAACAUUUCAAUUACUCACAAAAUCUGCCAGAAACUUCUAAUUUAGUACAAAAGUACCCCCUAAACAAGCUUAAGUACUUCAACUCUUUCCUACAAAAGUCCACAAUCUUCCAUAUAUCAAUCCACUCAACACUCCCAACAAUACAGAUAUCAAUUAUAUCAAUAUUGAUUACAUAUAAACUACAUAAGCCUUAUUCUAAUGUAAACAACAACAUUACAAAAUGAAUUAAAGAUUUUACUUGCCUCAUCCUUGGAGAGAGAGCAUUUUAAUCGCAUUAUCAAGAUCCGCAUUUAAAAGAAAACCGGAUAAAAAUGUUUCAGGUCUUGAUGUCGCUAGUGUCUCGAGCACACCUAGUAAUGAUGUUGCAUCCUCUGCUGUAAGAAUUGGCCUGUCCUGAGCGACAAGCGUAGUAGGAAGCGCCUGGCCUCUGACAAGGAACCAUGU